rnacentral:rRNA from 1 species
AGUCAGCAGGUGAGUGAACGGCUCACCAUGUGAGAGAUGGGUAGCCCACAUGAGAGGGUGAACGGCCACCAGGGAACUGAGACACGGUCCAGACCCGUAUGGGAGGCAGCAGUGGGGAAUAUUGCCCAAUCGAGGAAACUGCGAGGCAGCGACCCUGUGUGAUGUAAGAAGGCUUUCGGGUGGAAAAGUUCUGUCAUAGGUGGGGAUAAUGACGGUCCCUUAGGAGGAAGAUCGGGCUAACUACGUGCCAGCAGCCGCGGUAAUACGUAGGGGCCGAGCGUUGUCCGGAUUUAUUGGGCGUAAAGGGUUCGCAGGCGGUCUUAUAUCUUAGAUGAAAUAGAUCACGUCUCCCCCGUGGUAAGCAUUUAAAACUGGGAGACUUGAGUUAAGGAGAGGAAAGUGGAAUUCCUAGUGUAGCGGGAAAUGCAUAGAUAUUAGGAGGAAUACCAAUGGCGAAGGCAGCUCUCUGAAUUGAAACUGACGCUGAGGAACGAAAGCGUGGGGAGCAAACAGGAUUAGAUACCCUGGUAGUCCACGCCGUAAACGAUGAUCACUAGGUGUCGGGUACAACACUCGG